CGAACUGUGAAGAAAGAAAAGCCUUGGGCGGCGCCAUUUUGCCGGGCUUUUUCUGAGGGGAGAUUUGAGAGCCGGGGACGCGGAGAAGCCCCGGCGACGGCGGAGCAGCAGCAGCAGUAGUAGCAGCGGAGAGCGCGUCGUGCUGCUCUCGAGGGUCGGAUAAAGUGAAGGGGAGAACCACCACCGCCACCAUCUUGGCGUUCAGGGCAUCCGACGGGGCCGGCCGGGCGAGGCCUGAACGGAGCCUCCCGUCGCAGCCGCCGGCAGAAUCACAAAACAAACCGGGCGAGCCUCGACCCCGACGGUUCUGGGCACCGGAGAUGGCCGCACAGUCAGCGCCGAAAGUCGUGCUUAAGAGCACCAGCAAGAUGUCUCUUAACGAGCGGUGAGGAACCCAACGGCCACCUUCAACUCAUAAGAUCUUUUUAUUUUUUACGUUCUUCUUUUUCUUUUUUUUUUUUUAGUUUUGUACACUCUGUCUGGUGUCCAGAGCAGGAGCGGUCUUUGCGAUGCUUGUAAAUCUACUCAGAGGCACCCGAGAGCCACGCGGGCAGCUCCCCGUUGCCCCGCCGUGGUACACCAGGUUGAAAGGGCAAACGUGUCGGCCUAACCGGCAACCAAAAAAAACAAAACCCGGUCGCGUUGGUGGGAUGUGUCCUGAGGAAACUUCGCGCCCUCCUUUUUUUUUCUUCCACAUGUGUUCAUAUUCUAGAGAUGUGUGGUAUGACGCCCGCAGUGUGGUAGCAUGUCACCGCAGCUGCGGGAGGCUUCCUGCUGUGCCCAAGGCAGACACGCGUGACCUCGUGUGGUCUGUGCUGUAAGAGGCAGGCAGCUGGCCGCUCUGACCAGCCCGAAGGCUCCUUGGGGGCCUUGUAAGAGGCAAGUGCUUGGCUUCAUCACCUGCUGCUUUUUCUCCUCUGCGCUCCCUCCUCUUCCUCCUCCUCCUCCGUGUCUCUCGUGAGUUCAAAUGUCCGAAUGUUGGCUGAAUCUUUUGCUUUUCGUUCCCCUUCUGUGUUCAAAUUAUAUUCCUAGGUUAGUCGGCCUAAAUGUCCAGCAGGAGAGUGUCGUAACUCAGUCGUUUUAAAAGUCUACAGGUAGUAGAUUUUUUUUUUUAGUAGUU